rnacentral:rRNA from 1 species
CCUACGGGCGGCAGCAGUGAGGAAUAUUGGUCAAUGGACGAGAGUCUGAACCAGCCAAGUAGCGUGAAGGAUGACUGCCCUAUGGGUUGUAAACUUCUUUUAUAUGGGAAUAAAACGUUCCACGUGUGGGAUUUUGUAUGUACCAUAUGAAUAAGGAUCGGCUAACUCCGUGCCAGCAGCCGCGGUAAUACGGAGGAUCCGAGCGUUAUCCGGAUUUAUUGGGUUUAAAGGGAGCGUAGGUGGUUUGUUAAGUCAGUUGUGAAAGUUUGCGGCUCAACCGUAAAAUUGCAGUUGAAACUGGCAGUCUUGAGUACAGUAGAGGUGGGCGGAAUGCGUGGUGUAGCGGUGAAAUGCUUAGAUAUCACGAAGAACUCCGAUUGCGAAGGCAGUUCACUGGACUGCAACUGACACUGAGGCUCGAAAGUGUGGGUAUCAAACAGGAUUAGAUACCCCAGUAGUC